CUCUCUCGGUCUCAAAAAAGAAACAUAAAAAAAAAAAAAAAGGUGGUGGAUCUGAGACUCAGACUCAGGUCUUUCAACCACAGGUUCUGAGACCUGUCAAUUAUACCAGGCAGCUUUCCAUAGCACUUGUGGUGGGCACAAACUGAGUUCUGUAAUUUAUAACGGUCCUGAGCCAGAACACUUGAAGGAAGAUACGUUACUGGCUUCAUAGAAAAUGCUACCUGGGAAAUGGAUCACCUAGCUUAAAUCUGCACAAACGCGAGGAGGGAAAUGACAAUUCAGAGCCUCUGUUUGAAUGACAUUUGUUUCUGAGACUAGUAACCAGCUUUUCAAUUCUGACGUUUACGCGUAAAUUCCGACAUAUACCCGGGGCUGUGCUUAACAACGGGUCACACUCCCGUCCUGCAGAUGUCCUGCGAGUCUGUGAUUCGAAGGCAAUGUGAUCUGUGUUAAGUGUCGUUACGUGAUACUUAAUACAAUGUAAGUAUCUGAUACUGUAAGAUUAUGAAAUCACCAGAUCUGUCAUGGCCAUCUAGUCUACCUCUGUUUCUGAGAAAGUCUGCAUUUAAGUCAUCCCAGAGACAAAACCUUCCCACUUGGAAUACAGUUUCUUUGUCUGCUCAGCAGGGGGGCUUUCUAUUCAAAGCCCAGGUCAAGGCCUAUCUCUGUGGAGAAAUAAUCCAUCGCAAGUCUCUUCACAGCAGGGUAGAUUCAGGUGCUGGGAAAUGGAGUUUUAUGCAAUUCAGGGAAGCUUUUUUAUGAUAAAGAAUACUAAACUAGGGAAGCAAGUGAAUGUUUAUUUAGAAUGAGAAAAUAACUCACAAUAAGCUACUGGAGCCUUGGAGAUUCAGGUACCUUUCCUGUUAGGCAGUUUCCCAGACCUGCUUGCCUAGAAUGCUUCCUGGUUGCACCAUAACUUCCCCACUUUACCUUGCAAACUCCACAAAGCCCAACAGAUUCCAGCACCCUGUGUGUCUGGUAAAUCUGCCCCUGCACUCCUACAAAUAGGUAUGAGUAUUAUUUAUUUGCCAAUUUAUCUGUUUAUGGGUCUCGUCAUUCCAAAAGGAUUUGAAAGCAGAGACUUUUGCUCUUUAUACUCUGGCAAUGUAGCACAAGAUGCUUUCGCACACACUAUUCCUUUCCUUCGCCUCCGCUUUUUCUCACCUCCCCUGCCCCAGUGGCCACCUGCCCCAAUUGUGAUUUGGCGAAAUCUUCUACUUAUACCUGAAUCAUACCAAUUAUUGGGUUUACCACACAUUAUCUUGUUUUAAAAUAUUUCUUAUGUGUAAAUCUUAUUUAUCUCUUUAGCAAGACUGUAAGCUUCUUGGGGGAAGAGACGAGGUCUUAUGCUUUUUCUCUGUUUUCUUACAUACUUUUACGGUACUAAGCAUCUAUAAAUGUCCAAUCAUUAUUUGUGAAUGAUUGACUAUCCACCAAAUCUCACUGAUUUUUAUAUAGGUUAAAGUGAAACAUUGAUUAAAGUAGGGUGGGUUUAAUAAGGGAAGGUUUCUUGUGGAGGUGUACCAAAACUGAGUUUUGAAGAAGGAAAGAAGGACUAUUUGAUUGGAAAUGAGCGACUCCAUAUAGGGGAUAGGAAAUUAGAGACAGUUCUUAAUGAUGCUUUUUAAUUUAUUAAGAGAAAUAUGAAUGUCUAAUGAAUGUUUUUAGUGAAAUAUAAUUCACUGCGUAUAGGGACAUUUUUAGGUCGGUUGAAUGAGCUAUUCUGGGUAAGAAUACAGAGUGUAGUGGCAUUUGAUUAUCAGUGGGUAACUCUCCCAAAUGGUUCAACACACACACACACGCACACACACACACUCACACACACUCACACACACUCACACCCUACCCCCCCAGAAAAAAACAGAUCAGUGACUGCAGUGAAUCAGAAUUGCAGAAACUCCUUAAGGCCCUGACAAGUCUUCAAAUAAUGAUGUUCCAAAGAAUGGUGGCUCUUCUUGCCUACACAGGCCUUUGUGCGUGUGACAGAAUGGUUUACGGGUUCACACAGGAGGAGAUGUUUUAGAUUUGCACAUCCGGGAUUCCCAUUCAUUUCUGUUUUGUGCGGUGACUGGGGGGUGGUGAGAUGUCGUAAAGUGGGCUUGGGCUUCUCUUGCACAGCAUCUUUCCCCCAGAUGUGUAAUAGGUGAAAACCGUAAGCACACGGAGGCGGCAAUGCAGUCCUGAGAGCUUUAAAAAUCACAGGAGCACAUGAACAUCUGUCCCAAGUCUGGGAGAAGGGCAGCAAGCACGCAGGAGAUGAGCAUGUUGUCUUACAGAUUCCUCAUGCCGAUCCCAGGUUGGGAGGUGGAGAAAGGACUCUGUUCAUGUAGUCGUUCAUGGACCUAGGAUGAAGACAACUCUAUCUUCUUCAUUACAUGCCUUACAUGGACGCUCCAGUUAUCAGCAUUGCAAGCAGCAGAAGGAGAAAGGAUCUCAUAACAUGUUAUACAUCAGACCCAGAAAGAAAACAGCAAUCAUUUCUGCAUACUUGAUAUUGGCUAAAACCUAGUCAUGUGGCCCCAGAUAAAUGAAGAGAAGCUUGAUAAAUGUGGUCUAGUGAAAGAGGAGAAUGUAUUUUGAUAGGUAGUUACCAGUCUCCGCCACAGUUAUUGACAUUUAAAACCUACAGAUUACACACACACACACACACACACACACACACACACACACCAAUGUCUAAGUUCUACCAAAUGGAAAUAUCUGGAAAUUUUGCUUGAACGCCACAUGGCAACAAUUUCCUAGAGUCAGGCUGUAGUUUCCCUUUGCAAAGUGCAUGCUCACUCUGGUUGCUGUCAUUCUCACACUUGUAUUUUUGCCCCAAAUCCAAUCCUACUUUACUUCAACUAGACAUGAUCAACACAUGCUUGAAGAGAUUAUAGUUGGGUGUUCUCUUAGUUAAUGUCAUCAGGACCAAUAUUUGUUUAGUUCAUCAAAAAAAAUAAAUAAAUAAAAACAGGCAAAUCAGGGAAUAAUAGUUAAAACAAAAAAGUUUUUUUUGGAUGUUCUAUACUAUCCUAAAGCGUAUUAAUUUACUUUUAUUUGUUACAUUUAUAAUCUUGGGUCAAAGUCUUUUCUUUAAAUAUGUCUACCAGUUGGA